rnacentral:lncRNA from 1 species
GGGGGAGUCAGUGCCAGCAUCGGGCACGACCCCCACCUUCUCUACACGCUCAGUGCUGUCCAGAUUCUCACUCUGUAUGAUAGCAUCCAUGUAAUCAACGUAGACAAAGUGGUAGCCUAUGUUCAGAGUCUACAGAAAGAAGAUGGUUCCUUUGCUGGAGACAUCUGGGGUGGAUCCCUUUCACACCUUGUUUGGCAUUGCUGGAUUGUCACUUCUGGGGGAAGAGCAGAUCAAGCCUGUCAGCCCUGUCUUUUGCAUGCCUGAAGACGUGCUGCAGAGGGUGAAUGUCCAGCCUGAACUAGUGAGCUAGUCCGAGGGGAAGAGCCUUCGGUGUGCAGUAUCAGUUACUGUGGUUAUCAAACCCAGAAGUGACUUAAUAUUUUGUAUAUCAUAUGUCAAUGAUAAAAUUAUAUAAGUAUUGUAAAAUAAAUGUCGUAUUUAGAUCUUUAGUGUUCUGAGUACAGUUUCUGUCAAUACUGUUUGUUAAUGUCUAACAGCAACAAACUUAAAAAGCUAGUAUUUAACUGCCACCUCCCUGUGUCCUUUUGACCUGUAACAAUGACGGGAAAUGAUUUCUGUUAAUAAAGAUGAUCAAAGUGAGUGAAACUCAUGAUUUAAAUAAAAGAUGCAUAAAAUUG